GUCGCCUUCCUCGAGGCGGAGGCAGAAGGCGACCUCGGCUUCCUCGCCAACGCCGAAGUCCAUGACCACAGCGCCUUCCUCCGCCUCGUGCCGGAGCUCGACGUGAGGGAACUCCCCGCGCCGUUGUUCGCCGUGCAGGUGACGUGGUUCUGUGGGCCCCAGGGGGUGGAUAGCGUGGCAGUGGGGAUGCGGACCUGCCGCCGCCGACGAUAGAACGGGCGGUUAUCGGACGCCCGAGGAGCCAGGGGAUUCUUGCAUCAGGCGGCGCCCUACGACGGAGGGGGUCAAUGUCGAUGUGGAUGAAGCCUGGGUUGGACGCGUUCGCUGCAGUGCCGAAGGAGGCUGGUGGGUCAAUUCUGAAGCUUUUGGAGUCUGCCGAGAGUGGAGUGGAGAACAACAGGGAAGUGUGCAGCUAAUUGAUAAUAGAAGAUUGGAGAGCUUUCCGUUGUUGUGCAUAAGACAACGAUCUUGGAGUCUUCUUACAAGCAGCUACUGAGAUCGGUCUGGGUUCAUAUUUAGAGAUGAUUGAGUUUCCAGUAUCAUUGGGAUUCAACCCACGCACGGUCUUCGAAUGAGUGGUGCGUCCGAAGAACCCCUCUGCGCUGUGGGGAAAGAGAUGGAUUCCUCGAGUCACCCCCAACACGCUGCUGCCCGCCAACCAUUCGACUACAGGCAUGCAAACUACAUAUCGAGAAAUCUCUAUUUAUUAUUUCUGAUCGCAUAUCAAAAUAUCAAGAACGGUUCAUUUAAU